rnacentral:misc_RNA from 1 species
AAAAAAAAAAACAAUUUUAAAAUCUGCAAAGGCAAACCAAGGCCAGUAUCAAACUCAAACCACUACAUUUUACAAGCACAGUAACAGAGAAUAUCUACGUACAAUUGUUUUUCUUUCAUCUUUUUGCGAGGGGUGAAGAGGCAAAAACAAAAAGUUAUACACACUUUGUAUGAUUACACAUGGGCAUGUGGUAGGGACACCAUUCAUACUGACACAUCUGCUGUUCUGGCAGCGCUGUUCCCGGAUCUUGGUUGCCGUAGAAGAUCUAUUAGUGUCUCUGCCUUUCCCUUGGCGCGAUUGGUGCCGGACUGUGACAAAGCCACCAAGGGAGGAAUCGCUCCUUCGCGGGCCACCAUCGCACGAUGCAACAAAUUAUCCUCGCAAAUCUGCAACAAUAUCCCAACCGCAAUCUCCUUCUGCCUCUGCGAUCCGACCUCGAUGAUCUCCACCAGUACCGGAAUCCCACCUUCUUCAACCAAUGCUGUUCUGGCCUCCUGAAUAGUAACCAACAUGCUCAAUACGAACGCUGAUUUGUCCACCAUGUUUGACCCGAAAUCAGCCAUUAAUUCCACCAGUGGCCUCAUGAUCCCAGCAUGGACAGCCCUUUUUUUAUUCUCCUUUGCUGAACAUAGCGAAUACAGAGCUGUUGCUGCGUCCUUUUUCCCGCGAAUUCCUCCACUUUCGAGUAAGUUCACGAGAAGUGGAAUGGCCCCAGACCGUCCGAUUGCAACCUUGUUUUCUUCUACUUGUGAUAGGCGAAGCAAAGCACAGGCUGCGUUCUCUUUCGCAGUUGAUGUCCCUGUUCUCAAAGCCCUAACCAGCGGCGUAAUCGCUCCCGAUGUAGCAAUCACUUCCUUGUUCUCGUCGCAGAGAGAUAAAUUCAAAAUAGCCGUGACGCCAUACUCUUGAAGCUGAGAAUCCGGUGAUGAUAUCAACGUAAUCAGAGGUUUAAUUGCUCCCGCUUUAGCUAUUUUGAAGCGGUUCUCUGGCUUGUUCUUAGCAAGGAGCCUAAUCUCCAUAGCCGCUUGUUUUUGCUCGUCAAUCGAACAGGACUCGAGAUCCAAUACGAGCUGGCGAAGCAGAUCAUCGGAAUUCUCCGAUGCGCAAGCUAUCAAUAAUCGCCUGCUCUCCGACGCAGCCGUUUGGAACUCCCCGGAUCUGUCGCUAUUACAGUCACUGAAAGGAGAGGAAUCAUCGUUAGCACUAGUAUUACCGAAGCUCCUACCCAUAUACGUGUAAUUUGCUCCAUUUUCGGUCUCCAUCACUACAAUAUUCUUCUCUUACUGCAUCAAAAUCAGCUAUGAAUUCGGAUUAAGGUUCGGGUUACAAAAUCCGAAUUGGUGAUAUUCGGGUUUGGUAGGCGGUGGCUGGAGCUGCAGAACACACAGAAAGAGAGAGAGAGAGAGAAGAGAGAGAGAG